CUCACUGACCUAGAUCAAAAAUUCUGUCAAUUUUGGGGGCUUAAAACUAUUACCGAAGCUUCAAACAAGGCGUUUUUAAAACGUUUUGUGGUAGCAGAACCUUCCGUAUAUUGUAAAAGUUUUAGUGUAAACUAAAAUGAAAAUACCGGAAGUGAGAAUACUUGCAUGAGUAGCAUAAAACAAUGAUAAACAUUGUAGCCGUAAGUCCAAGGUUUCCAAUCUAAAGUAAAACUGGGUUGGUAGAAGUCUCGACUUCUAUAAAAACGGUCCCUAAGCUAGCAAGCCAAAGCUUGCAGUGAUGGGUAAGAUUAAACUGUGAUAAGUUACUGACGAAAAAUUCACUUUAUUUUUAAAUAAAUUAAAAGUAAAUUAU
rnacentral:rRNA from 1 species